UAUUACAGAAACAGAGCAAUAGUACAGUUGUCAUGCCUGGGAUGUGUUUUUUGUAUGUGUAUUGUACAGGAGUCCAUCCUGGAAGUGGUACAAACUAAUGGACGAGGCACUGGGCCGGAGGCCCAGCAUUAUGCCUCUGGUCGUUAUUGACUUGUCCGACCAGGAUGUGGUGGUGGUCUCUCAUCCCUCACCCAGGGAACCCCAAUCUGAUGCUGAAACCAGCACAAAGAGAAAGAGACAGCCAGAAGCCUUGAGGAAGAUGCUGCGCCACCGGGUAUUCAUCAUCCCAAUAGCCCUCUCCACCACACAUCUGGCUUUGGAGUGAUGUCAGUUGUACCUUGCCUGAACUGGUUUUUGCACCAGCUCACUGUACAUCAUCAUGCUGAAGGUUGCGGCGAGGCAUGGAUAACCUCCGUCCCCAAUGAUAAACCAACCAGGCGGCGGGUAGAGCUGCUGAACGUAAAUGGAGCUCAUCCGCAGGACGCGUGCAUCAUGGACUGCACCGGGUAGGCCUGUGAAUGGUCAUUGUGAAAUAAAGACUUAAAAAUUUAGGAUUAUGGAAUUUAUAUAAAAUAACAACACAAUUUACUAUAAAAAGUAACCAUAAAUACCCAAAACAGGCAAAUGUAUUGUUUCUUUUGGAUGAAAAAUACUUUCCAAAUCUUAAGAACCCAAGAGGUAUUGUAUCAACCUGUUAAAAUACUGAAUCCCAUCCACACCUGGAAAUGUGUUCAGGAAGCGACCUUUGUGAUCACAGAUCACCUGCAGCUGAAUUGAGUGGAAAAGCUUCCUGUUAAGGAAUAAAAAUGUAGUCACUAAGUGUUGACAUUGACCGGGAUUAAAGCAUGCCAUUUAA